rnacentral:rRNA from 1 species
AUGGCGGCGUCGGCGGCGACGGCAACGGCGGCGGCGGUGGGGGCGGGGGAGGUGAUCUCCGUCCACACCCUGGAGCAGUGGACCAUGCAGAUCGAGGAGGCCAACGCCGCCAAGAAGCUGGUGGUGGUUGACUUCACUGCAUCAUGGUGUGGACCAUGCCGCAUCAUGGCUCCAGUUUUCGCUGAUCUCGCCAAGAAGUUCCCAAAUGCUGUUUUCCUCAAGGUCGAUGUCGAUGAACUGAAGCCCAUUGCGGAGCAAUUCAGCGUUGAGGCCAUGCCAACCUUCCUGUUCAUUAAGGAAGGAGAUGUCAAGGACAGGGUUGUGGGAGCUAUCAAGGAGGAACUGACGAACAAGGUUGGGCUACACGCGGCGGCCCAGUAA